rnacentral:lncRNA from 1 species
AGAGAGUAUGUGCAUGUAAAAAAAGCAUGCAAGAAAAAUAAUUGGCCUAAUGUGUACAGUAAGCCUACUUUCAGAGUGGCUAUAAUAAAUAUGAAGUAUGUGCUGGCAUUCAAAAGUGGUGUUUUAUAAUAUAAAUCAAAUGCAAAAUAUUGAAAGAAGGUUGGAUGGGGGGACAGUGUGUCUGGCUCCAUGUAUGGAGAUUCAUUUAUAUGGUUCAUGAUUUUGUAGUUUUUGUCUGCUCCAAAUGUUGUCUAGUUUCAGGGUUCCAGGACCCCCUUUUUCAAAAUCCAAAAUCCUGCCCCCCAUCUUUCAUGGAAAAAAAUAAUUGAUACAAAUACAAAUAUUUUAUUGGCACAAACUCAAUUACAAUAAUUGGCAACGGCCUCAAUCCUAAAUCUUAAGGCCUGUUGGCACGAAUUGUCUCAAUGUGCGGUUUUCCUCAAGGUAUUUUCUUCUCUGUGCUUUAAAUUGGUAUGCGCUGGUUAAGAUUGGGAUUGUGGGACAGUAGUAUUAAAUCUGCCCCGAGAUUACAGCCCCUUCAACCAUGAGCAUAAGCCCCAAAUAAGCGGCAUAGUCAGGAAAAGGCCCAGAUAGAGACAUGUAAAACAAUUUCGUAACGAGAAAGACUAAACGGCCUUGCAUUUUUGUAAACAAAUGAACGAAACACAAGAUAUGUAACCAGUCGGCCCGCACUCCAAGGGGGUCCGGGGUCGCACGCCCCCCUUUCCUUGUUGGCCGAUCAAUACAUUUGAAUCGGGACCAACUACGUGUUGUUGCACCCCCUCCUGCACCCGCCCCUUGUGCCUGGCUUAGCACCCCUUUCGAAAAUUCCUGGCAUGCGCCACUGUACAACAUAUAAGCAACGACACACCACUGAAUUACCAGGCUCGCUGAUUGGACAGGCACAUUACAUUAAUAAUGUGGCGGGGUUAAACUGUUGAGCGGGAUUGCAGACCGCUCUCCCUAAACCUGGGACAGUGGUAUAACAGCACAACAUAUAGAACCAACUAUAAAAAAUCAGUAUGAAAAAGGCUUAACUCAUCAGGAUGAACAAGAAUAGCAAGGGACGUGGUAAGAAAUUUCUUUGACUUUGUGAGUUCAUAUUUUGUGGCAGUGGCAAGAUAAAUGUUUUUUCAUCUUCUAUUUUUUUAUUAUGACAUAAUUUGCAACACCUUUUUCUCUGUUUAAUUGCCAUGUAUCUACCUCUUUCCAAUUUCAAGAUUGUUGAUUAUAUAUGGAAUCACUGAAGCAUGACUGGAGUGCCUCCCCCCUCCUAAUGAAAAGUUUUGGAUCUGCACUGCCUUAUCCAAAAACACUAAAUAAAAAUUUAAACAACUUGUUAUAAAUAGUAUACGAAUUCUUAUAUGAUUGGCAUAUUAGGGAGUAAUUCAAAUAAAUCAAAUCAAAUCAAAUAAUUUUAUUGGUGUAAAUUCCUAUACAGAAAUGAUACCAGCGGACAUUUACAAAAUACAAAUACAAAAAAUAAACAAACAAACAAACAAACAAACAAAAAAACAACCAAACAUAUUUUCUCAAUGAUCAUGAUAAGAGAUACAUAUUUUAUAUUUACAUUGCGUGGAGGUGUUAUUCAUACAAUAUUAUUAAUGCAAGCUAUUACAAUCAGCUUUAAUACUAUAAAAGCUCUUAACAACAUUAUGUUUGCUUUAAAUGAAUGUUCAAUAGCAUUUUGAUAUGGUUGGUCAAGCAGGAGACUUCCGCUUUAGUUAUCCUGACGUUGGUUAUUUUUUGAUAACAACGUUGACCGACUUCUUUUUGUAACCAAUGUAAACAAGAUGGCGGCGAUUAUAAACACCGACUUAAAAAUUAUUUUCACCUGCAGCCCCUAAUCUUUAUAUAAAAUGAUACACAAAAACUUCGUUUGGAUGCAAUAAGGGUUUUUGCAGUUUACUUUUUAUCAAGAGGAAAUUUCAUUGGUUACAUAUUUUUGCGUUAGCCAACAAAUAUAUCAUACGCAAGGCUAUUCAAUGAUAUAAUAUAUAAAUCUAAGUAUGAAUAGAGGUGACAUUGUGGAAAAUAUAUUCCCCUAAUCUCCAAUGNNNNNNNNNNNNNNNNNNNNNNNNNCGUCCUGUCAAUGUAAUGUGCCCCUAGUAGUUGUUGUUAGUUUUGUAGUUUGGGUUUUGUCUCUUUGUGUUCCGGCCGUUCCAGUCUCGUUAGCAUUAGUACUAAAUUCAUAUGUUUCUGACCCUGACUUCUCUUGGAGUAAUUGUGUUACAUAUCUUCUUGGAUUCGAUUAUACUGAUCAUAGCGCGCGUAUUCUUGAGGAAUUCUCAGAAUAAAAUUAUUGCGGAAGUGAUUGACGAUUAAUAAAAGAAGGUUUGAUAUGUAUUAUGUGUGUCUUCUAAAUCUUCGUAGUAUUGAAAGUAGUAGUUUGAUAUUUCAUCCUCAGUUUUGGAUUGUUUUACAUAUUUUAAAAUAGGACAAAUUUUGAUAUAUAAUUAAAAAAGAAGAUGUGUAUGAUUGCCAAUGAGACACUAUCCUCAAAGAGCAAAAUGAAACAGAAUCUAACAAACUAUAGGUCACGUACGCGACUUCAACAAUGAGCUAAGCCAUACCCGCAUAGUCAGAAAAGGCCCAGAUAGAACAUGUAAAACAAUUCUUAAGAGAAACCUAACGCCUUUAUUUUUGUAAAACAAAUGAACGAAAAACAAUAUGUAACAUUAACAAGCGACAACCCUGAAUUACAGGCUCCUGACUUGGGACAGGCACAUACAUUAAUAAUGUGGCGGGGUUAAACAUGUUAGCGGGAUCCCAACCCUCCCCCUAACCUGGGACAGUGGUAUAACAGCACAACAUAAGAACGAACUAUAAAAAUCAGUUGAAAAAGGCUUAACUCAUCAGAUGGACAAAAAUACAAGUGGACAUGGUAGAACAUUUCUUUGACUUUGUGAUUCAUAUUUUGUGCAGUGCAAGAUAAAAUGUUUUUCAUCUUCUAUUUUUUUAUUAUGACAUAAUUUGCACAACCUUUCUUCUCUGUUAACUUGCAUGUAUCCACCUCUUUCAAUUUCAAGAUUGUUGAUUAUAUAUGGAAUCACUGAAGCAUGACUGGAGUGCCUCCCCCCCUCCCUAAUGAAAAGUUUUGGAUCUGCCACUGCCUUAUCCAAAAACACUAAAUAAAAAUUUAAACAACUUGUUAUAAAUAUAUAGAAUUCUUAUAUGAUUUGCAUAUUAGGGAGUAAAUCAAAUAAAUCAAAUCAAAUCAAAUAAUUUUAUUUCCUAAUAUUGGUGUAAAUUCCUAUACAGAAAUGAUACCAACCGACAUUUACAAAAUACAAAAAUAAACAAACAAACAAACAAACAAAACCAAAAAACAACCAAACAUAUUUUCUCAAUGAUCAUGAUAAGAGAUACAUAUUCUAUAUUUACAUUGCAUGGAGGUGUUAUUCAUACAAUAUUAUUAAUUCAAGCUAUUACAAUCAGCUUUAAUACUAUAAAAGCUCUUAACAACAUUAUGUUUGCUUUAAAUGAAUGUUCAAAUACGUUGAUAUGGUUGGUCAAGAGGACUUCCUUUAGUUAUCUUGACGUUGGUUAUUUUUCGAUAGACAACGUUGACCGACUUCUUUUUGUAACCAAUGUAAACAAGAUGGCGGCGAUUAUAACACCGACCUUUACAAAAUUUAUUUUCACUGCACCUUAAUCUUUAUAUAAAAUAAUACACAAAAACAUUCGUUUGGAUGCCAAUAAGGGUUUUUGCAGUUUACUUUUUAUCAGAUGGCAAAUUUCAUUGGGUACAUAUUUUUGCGUUAGCCAACAAAUAUAUUCAUACGCAAGGCCUAUUCAAUGAUAUAAAUAUAUAAUCUAAGUAUGAUAGAGGUGACGAUUGUGGAAAAAUAUAUUCCCUAUCUCCAAUUUUAAAUGAUUAUAAGGAUUAAACGCCUUUUUAAAGGAAUUUAUUGGUUUAUAAACUGAAUUCCUUUAAAAAGGCGUUUAAUCCUAUAAUAAAUAUCCAUUAAACUAAUUAUUUGCAUGUUUUAAAUUUGAAAUAGCUACUAUGCUACUUAAAACUGUUAAUGCAGAAGAAUUAGGCUGAUAAUCCAUUACUCUUCAUUGUUUUAUGUUCAUCAAUGACAAUUUUUUGGAUUUUAAACCAUUUCAAAUUACUUUGAUCUAAUAAUGAAAGUGGACUCAUAGUAAAACCUAUAUUGUUUAAUGAAAUUUUUUUUGCAAGUUUAAUGGUUUUUUUUAAUUUUUUUUUACCAUUAUUGGAAAAAAAAGUAUAUUACAGGAAGGUUUUGGGGGGAGGGCUGUGGACUGCUUUAUUUAGAAGAAACAACAUGUUUAUUUAUAAUUGCUUUAGGUACAAAAAUGUAGAAGGACUUGAAGGAAUAAACAAAUGUGUAUUUAUUAUAACUUAAGUUGAAAGAACUUUGAAGAACGAACACAAUGUGUAUUUAUUGUUACUUUAUUUGCAGGUUGUUAUGAUGUAGAAAGUGAAGUAGAAAUAUGUCAUAAAAGUCAUUGUCUUCUAUGUCAUAUGUCAAUCAUAGGUGUAUUUACAGGUAAAUCACAUUGUUUUGUGCUACAUAUCUUGUUGAUUUCUUUAAUUAUAAAAGGACAAUAAUUGCAAGCUUUGGGGUAAGGCAUAUUUUAAUUAAGUUUUAUAUUUUUUUUAAAACUCAGGCUGAAAUUUUGAAAGUAAAUGGAAAUAUUUUUUUUUUAUAUUGCAACCCAUCACAAGAGUGAAUAAAAGAUAAGGUGGGGCCUUUCCAAAGAUAUUUAGUUCACUCAAAAGAGAGAAACAUCUUUGGUUCAGUGCUAUUUUCUUCUGAGUUUAUUAAUGGUAAUAUAAAACUUGAUUAAUUCUUCUUCAAAAAGAAAAAAAAACAACAUUAGAGAACAAGUACCUUCAAGUUUUGUCAUAAUUCCUUUAACAUGUCAGAGAAUCAAUGGACAAUGUAUUUUGCAAAGGCAACCAUCUUAUUGUUAAUGACUUUAUAUAUCAAAAAAGAAGACAAUAUGGUAUGAUUGCCAAUGACAAUGAGACAACUCUCCAUAAGAGACCAACUGACAUAAAAAUAAACAGCUAUAGGUCACUGUAAGGCCUUCAGCAAUGAGCAAAGCCCAUACAGGAAAGUAAGCUAUAAAAGGCAUUAUAUAUGCCUCCAGAUAUAUUAUGUUUCUUUUAGUUGCAUGCAGCUUGAUGCCAAAAUAGCCAAUAUAUGUAUUUACUUUUAUUUAAUAAAAGCGUUGUUUUACAUGCAGUCCGGCCAUCUUUAAAAAUUAUAAGAUGAAGUUAUAAAAAUUCUGACAAUACUACAUGUACUUAAUUACUUUAAUAGAAAAGAAAUGAUGUAAUUCACGUUUUUAUACUUGAUAUCACAUUUGUUUUAGUAGAUGUUUUUAAUUGUCAGAGGAAUAAAUUUUGGUACUAGCUAGUCAUCAAUAAUAGAUAACCACAAAGGUAGAUUAAUUUGUCACAACAUAAUUUACUCUUCUUUAAGUUCAAAUCCUUGUCAAGGUACAAGAAUAAAAAUGUUCUGACUUAUAAAACAUCUGAUAGACAUCAGUAAAUGUGUUUGAAGUGUAGAGACCUUAAACAGGAAACACAAUUUUUCAUAAUUUCCUUCCUUGAGGACUUUGAUCAUUGGUUCCCUGGUAAUAACUGGCUGUUUUAUCAUAAGACCACAGAACUAACCAUCUUGAAUCAAGAAAAAGGUAUAGUUUUCUUUAUUGUUUUUUAGUUUCCAUUUGGCUCAAAGUACUGGAUUAUGUACUGCAGCGUAUAAAAAAAGGUACAGUUAAGGACUUCCUGCAAAUUAACUGAAUGCAAAAAUGUUAAAUAGGGCUAUCAAUAAGAAACAUUGAAGAUUCAAAAUCAAAUCAAAUAAGGUUUACUUAACUUUCACUGAUAUUGCAGUAUGAACUAACUAACCCACUAGCCAUUUUCUACUAUUAUAUUUUACCCUCUUAAAUUGUGCUAGUUUUCAUUGUUUUCUUAUCAAUUUUCCAUAAUUAAAAUAAUUCUAGAUUCAAAUUAAUUCCUUGUUAUCAAUUGUAAAGUGUAAGUGAUUUUCAUGUCUGCCAGGGAAAUGUCACUUGUGUGUCAUGUGUGAUUAUGAAACAAAAUUAGUAAUGAGCAUCUCCCCUCAAACUACAAGAUUUUUUAUCAAGCUUGUAUCAUGUCUUUUACAUAUACACCUGCAGUAUAGACAUUUUUGUGUUUAUAUAAUAGAUUAUGUUAUACCUUUACAUAGUUUAGGUUUGUGUACCUAAUAAUAAGGUUGGUAGAAGAGAGUAGAUUAGGAUGUUACUGAGAUAGUUAGGGAUGAAUUUUAGUGUUUUGUAGCUCAUUUGUUUCUAUAGAUUAAAGCAGUGUCAAGGCAUUUUUGGGGAAACUGGGGAAAAAAAACAUGCAAAACUUCUUAAAAACCUUAAAUAAUUUGUUAAAUGAUAUGUUAACUUUUUCAAACCAAAACAAGUAACAGUGGUGUAGAUUUCUGGAGUUGAAUUUAGAAAUUUUAAGAAUUAUUUCAGAAAUACUUUAUUAGAUUGACUUUGGUUAGAACAGUAGAAGUCUAUGCAACUACCAAUUUUCAAGUUUUAGUAGAUACAAGUGGUGAAAUAUAAGAGGGAGAAGUUAAAACUUUGUACAGGUUUUAUGUUACAGCAUACAUGUAAUCUUGUGGAUACAUGAAGUGACAGGCAAUGUACAAUAAAGUUUUGAUAGUCCACUAACUUAAAACAUAGAUAAUUAGUGUUCUACUUGAACAUUUAGUAUAUUGACAAAGAAAAUCUCAAGAGGUGUUUUUAUGAUUAUUUUAUAGGCUUGGAGGAAUACCAUGACAAAGAGAACAGAAGUCUCUGAUUAAGGUUUGUUACAAUAUAUAAUUCAUCUAAUGCAUGCAAUAUUUUAUCUUUUAUUAAGACAAUUUGAUGAUUUUGUAAUUUAACCAUUAAAAAUAUAUAAUAGAUGUAUAUUGACUGAAUAUCCUGUUCUUUUUUUAAAACACAUGAUUUGUACAGAUCGGCGACCUACAUUUGCGCAGAUUUUCAAAUGACACGCAUUACGUUUGUACGGAGAAAUGGUAUUACAUUUGCGCGAAUUUACCUGUAGUUUACCUGGCUGUUUUUUUCCCUCUAAUUUGUUUUUCGAUUAUGUUUUGAACAAAAAACAGUGAUCAUACCACAUCUUGUUAUUUCAUAUAUUGAUAAACAUUAUUUGUUUAUAUGAACUUUAAAAAAGCGCUACAUUUAUCAUUUUAUGUAAAAGAAAAGUUUUUAAUAAAAUAAAGCGACAAUCAUGAAAAAGAACAUUCAGAAAUUGUUGAACUGUAAACUGAAUUUUCUCUUCGUCUGUGCGUUUUACAAUGGCUUGGUUAUCACUGCUGUGAAUUUUAAUGUAAGUAGUCAUCUAAACUUGUAAAAUAAUCUCAGCAAAAGAGUAGAUGACUGGAUGAGUUGAAUAAAACUGUUCAUUGUAACAUCUAUGAAAAGACUAUGGCUCGUUGUCUGAUAUAUAAUAAAGUCCAUCUUGUUAGUUUUAUUUUUUUUAUUUUAUCAAGUUAAUUUGUUCAAAUUAAUUUCAUUUUAUAGUAAGUAUAACAAAAUUAGAUAAAAAAUGUUUUUGUCGUGCAAAAUUGGAUUUUUUUUCUGCGCAAAUGAAGGACCAAUCCGUGCAAACAUAAUGCGCUGGUACAGACAGUCAUGGGUACUACUUGUACAAGUAAUUUUUAUUUACUUCUUCAAGUAUAUAAAAAUUACUUGUACUUGCUGUUAAAGACAAAAACAAUUGAUCAUAUCUCUUUUGUGUAUAAAUGAUAAAUCUUUUAUGAUCAAGAUGUUCUUCCAUAACUCUUUCAAAACUAAGUCCAAAUAUUUCACAUGGUAUUUUUCAAAGGAGAAAAAUCCUUUUUAAUGUUUAUUUACUCUACAAUGCAACCAUCCUUAAUCACACAAAAGGAGGAAAAUAAUAUAUGUUAACAUGGUUAGGUAAAAAUGUUCAAUAAGAUAAUUAAAUAUAGAUAGCUCUGGUUCUUGUGAACUUACAGACAGGUUUAUGAUGUCCAAUUAGGCCACCAUUAAAAAUUAAGUCUUUUCAUAAACAUAAAUAGACCUACUUAUAACAAGUCUGUCAGUUUUUGACUUGAAUAAGUCUGAAAAUGAGAGUACAUUAUUAUGAUAAAUACAUUUUUGGGCUACUAUUGCUUUCAAGCAAUCUGUAGACUUAUACGAUUGGCUCAGGGUGUCAUGCCCUCACGUCAACGGUUUUAUUCUAAACAUUAAGGACCAUCUCAGAUUCUUAUGAUUGUCUUGCUUUAAAAGGUAAAAACAAACAAAGGGAUUGAACUUAAACAACUUUCCUAUAAUGUUCUUUUCAUAAUCUUCAUGUUUGAUAUUUCCCUUGACUUAUAUGCCUGUUUUUAACAACACGGAAAAUCAGAAUUAAGCAGUAUUUAUAUUUAGUGUUUUUAUGAAUUUAGAAACACGUCAGAGGGAAUUCCCCAGUUGUGAUAAAAAUGCGAGAGUUCUCUGAAUUCCGAUAAAUCUAUUUCUGUCAUAUAAGAACUGCAGUGGAGUUUUUCUUAUAUGUCACUGUUAUGAAACUGAUAUUUAAUAAUGUACUUCAAUAAAGAAAUAGAGAACCAUCUAGGUCGUUUAAUUAAUGUACGUUCUUUCUCCAGGGUUUGUUUAGGUAAUUAUGCGCAUGUGUAUAGUUUUCUUGACUUCAAGGGGUAUUAGAUUGAAUUGUUGCUCUGGAUUCCCCACUCAAUUGAUUAAUUUAUAACUCAUGGGAUCCUUUCUAUGUAUGUCUGCUAUUGAGGGUUAUUGUUGUUGCAUAAUUUUAAAUCAUAUGCAUCAUAAAUGUAGUCCACAUUGUAAAAGUAACUACAACAUCCCUUCAGGCGAAAUGGAGUCUUCCAUAUUAUCAUUUCGAGUUGUCUCCCUUCAUCCAUCCAUCAAUCCAUUAGAAUGCAGUAACGUCUCAGUCAUUACAGCUGAACGGACGUGCUGGGCCAGCUCUCCUUUACCCGUUAUCUUGGAUGAGGGUUUACAGUUAGAUGAUCAACGAUUUACUACUUUAGAUGACAGAAACCAAUCCAACGCCGUACAGUAGACGUAGUAACAUGCACUCCAAAACCCAUUGUAUCAUGGGGGAGUGUUAUGCUGAUUAACGUCCAAGGGCUGUAUCCUAGGUGUUAGAUGACUGACCUUCAUUUCACUGCCUCGUGGCUUUGGUCCUGAUAAUGCUUCCUGUCAUCUUUAAUACUACAUCCACGAUUCAUCUACCAGUACUCCAUCAUUGAGGUUAGUGGGCUGCCAAGCUGACCAAUCUGGCCCUGAAAGCAGCCGUUGUGAAGAAUAUAACAUCAAAUUAGUAAACAAACCAAAUCAAAACAGUUCACAAAACCAAGAUGGCGACCUCCAAAAUGGCGACCACCACUCGUUCCUAACCGAUGGCACAACAUUAUUUAAAUGCUCACCAAUCGCCUUUCGGGCACCAAGUCGACCGUUCGAGGGCUGUAUAGCCAGUCAAGGUCGUUAAACACUUCCAUAUAUUCGGGAAGUUACUUCCGUGAAUUCUGAAUUAAAACAGCACGUUGAGAAGAUAAACUUGUUCUGUCGAUAAAUGUCGUAUUAUAUUAAAAACGAUCGCACUUUAAACCGAGGAAUGUGUACGGAAAGAAGUUAUGAUCACUGACCCAAAGGAAAUUAAAUAUUUAAAGAGUUAGGAAUGGGGUUCCUUCCUAGAAUUAACGUAGGAAAAUAGGUGAUACAUGUAAGAUAUGAAAUGAAAUAUCUUCUCUCACUCUGAGUCUCAGUGACUGCUGAGGAAAGUAAACUUAUUAUUGAUAGUACAAAACUAAAACACAAUAGGCCUAAGUAUAUUGUUCACAUAAUUUUAUCCAGGAUUGGCUAUUUUGUAACUAUUUAGAUUAUGUAUAUUUUACAUGUGCAGUUGAAUUAGUUUUGAAAAUAAUAUUAUCCAGCUUAGCUACAUGUAUACAUGUGUCAAUGAAAACAAUGGCAAUCGUAUCCCUCAGAGCAAUCUGCUCUUUUUUAUGUAAGUCAAAAAUAAAAAACGAUUUGUUAAUGUCUGAGCUCUAACUGAAUAUUGUAUGUUGAUUUCUAGAAUUCAUAAGUCCAUCCUUCUGUCUGACUGUUCAUCAACAAUUUCUGUAAAUGCAAAUGCUCCAAAAUUACGGGAUAGGAAGCUAAUGAAAUGUUGCACAGUUGUUGAAUAUAUGUACAUUGUGGAUGACCAAUAUUGCUUUGUUUGCAUUAGUAUUAUUUAUUUGUUUCUGUGUUUUUAUGCCCUAUUUUUAUGCCCCGUUUAUGGGCAUUAUGUUUUCUGGUCUGUGCGUCCGUUGUUCUUUCUUUCGUUCGUUCAUUUGUUUGUUCGUCCGUCUGUCCCGCAUCAGGUUAAAGUUUUUGUUUGAGGUAGUUUUUGAUGAAGUUGAAGACCAAUCAACUUAAAACUUAGUACACAUGUUACCUAUGAUAUGGUCUUUCUAAUUUAAAUACGAAAUUAGAGAUUUUCCCCCCAUUUUCACUGUCCACUGAAUAUAGAAAAUGAUUGCGUGGAUGGGCGUCCGUUUACUGGGGAUACAUUCUUGUUAAAAUUUGCAAGCACUGGACAAUUACUUACUUGUCAGUUCUCUAAUCUAGGUUGUAUGUUCCAUGUACAUACACUUAAUUAGUUACCAUAUAUAUAUUGUCUUAUUUGAAAGAUGACCUUGAGUAAGAAAAUUGUAUAGUUGGACCAUCCACUUCCAUUUAUGCCUAGCUAUGUCAUCAACAUACAUUUAUUUCCUCACAAUAUUUUAGUAAGUGGAAACUGUUUAUUCAUGGAUUUGGUUUCCAACUUGAGUGAACAAGCAGAAGCACCUUUGUAUGUAGACUAGAAAAUAAAUUUGUGUGGCCUUACCAUUAAUUAAUUUGACUUUGAAUGUAAAAAAGUAAAGUGAUGAGCUAAAUGACAUCAUGUACUGGCUAUGAACCCUAGGCAACACAUCUGUAUGUAUACUAAACUAAAGAAUUACGUCACAACAUUACUUCCAUCAAUCUUAUAUCGUGUAUUCUAUCACCAUUAUGAAAGGCAUUAUUUGGCACAAAAUUGCUAUCAUUCAUUAUAUAUGUUAAAAUGUACUGUAAUAUGCAAAUUUUUAAAACUAUUUUCAGAAAAUUACAACAAAGAAAAGUUAAAAUUUUAAUUAAUCUGACAUUGAUUAAUUUUUGUUAUGAUUUGUAUAACUAAUGGCUUAUAAGUUUUUACAUUGCUGCUUAAAAUUAAGGUCACUAAUAGUAAAGGUUUGUCUGUGAAUCAGCCAUUACAUAUACAUGUAAAUAUUAAUAAAAGCGUAAUUGCAAUUUGCAAUAAUGGUUUGUUAUACAUGUUAUAAGCAGUAAGUUUGGCCCAAAUGUCAAAAUAAGCUCAAAAACAUGGCUAAUUUAUAAUGGUCUUGCAAUCUACUUUGAUUUUUAUCAUUCCGGUAUGUUGGUAGGUUUAUAUCAGUUUAUAUGAUGUUGGCAGUCUAUGAAGGCCAUGUUGAUGGUUAAUUAGAUGGGGUAUAGACUUAAAUACAUAAGAAAUGCUGAUAUACAUAUUUGUGAUAAUUUAUAUUCUUUAAGAGCUCACCUAGCCCAUUGGUCUAGGUGGCCUGUUUCAUCAUGUGGAGUCUGCUGUCUAUUUUUGUCAUAAACUAUAGAAAAAAACAAGGCUGUGGUGAUAAAAUAAGUCAUAAGGGUAAAAUUCUUGAAUUAUCUUAUAUCUAGAAACCAUAAUAAAUAGGUAAAAUUUUACAGAAACAAGAUCUACUUUCUUUCUAUUUUCAGCUCAUUUCUGAUGAUAUUUGUUAUAAUGGCAGAGAUAUUGUAAUGAGGGUUUAUGUUGUCUCCUUACCUAACACCUUCUUUAAAUCAUACUUAUAGCCUGACUUUAAUAAAGUAAAAUAUAAAAGGAUUUAAAAAGCAUCAACCUGGCAAGAUCAGGUGAAUAAACUAUGUUCUUUAUUGAUAAAUAAUGUACUUGAACUAAGGUUACAAAUUAUAAUGCAAAUUGAAGUUGUUUGUCAGUUAAAAGUUUAACUGUAUGUCACAUUUAGUUUUAAAUAAUCUUAAGUUUAAAUGAAUAAUGAAAAAUGCAGUUUUGUAUCAACUUUUACAAACUGUUGUAAUAGUACGUGUAACUACAUCCUUUAAGUGCAACUUUCUUAUUGCAUCUUAAAAAUACAGCAUUUAAACAUUUGGAUUACAUACACAUGAACAUGUACCUGCCAACUCCUCAAAAUCUCCAUGCAGGAUUAUUAGCACAAAAGAAAAUAAUGCAAUGAUGAACUCAAAGGAGAAUUUUAAGAGUCCGACCAAAGCCUUUCAUUGGGGGAAGUCUCUUAAUUUAAUUUGGAAAGUUGUCAGGUGUACUUGAUCUACAGUUUAUGUUUGGCUUACUAGUUUAUUUUUGGUAACAGAUGUGUCAUUGUCUUAUCAUUUUUAUGGAGAGGGACAAAGACCACAAUUAAUGACCUUUAUUUUUGUUGUCCACAAAUUAAGUUUUCUUUAAUUAUCGUGUUUUUUUCUUUCUCUUUCUCAUUCAUGUCUAAGUUUUUGUUUGUUGGAAAUAAAAAAAAUUAGUUGGAUGUUUUAUUUUAACUGAUAUAUUGAUAAAAGGAAAGGUCAGAUUAGGUCCAAAAAGGUAAUAUUUAUAGAAUUCAGAACAGCAGUAUUGUUUAAAUGUGUAAACUGUAGAGAUAAAUUUUUUCUAAAAGUUUGAGAUAUUUAAGAAACUGUAUUAAUGUAUUAUGAAUAUUAUUUUUUUCAUCAUAUCUGAUUAGUGGGUAUAUUUGUCCUGUUGCUCAGAUAAGAAGUACCUGUAUUAAGCUAGUGCACUCAAAUGUGCAAUUAAUUGUACCAGGUAUGUUUAAUUUUUAGCACCACACAUUAGGUAUAGUUUUGACAUGAAAUGACUGUCACUUUAUUUUAACUUGAAAAACAAAAAGCUAAGGCUGCUUGAAAUUUUAAAAUGCAAUUUUGACAAAAUUAAGAAUCAAAAUCCAUGCCUUAAAAUAAUAACCUCUAAAGGUUGAAAUGCUUUGCUGAGUCUGCCUGACAUCUUUUGUUUUUGAUAAAAGUAUUGAAGAAAAUAAAUACUGAUUUUGGAAUUCCCUGAUUUGAUUUGAAUUUUGUAAUUGAAAAGUAUUUAUAUUUACAUUGUAUUAUGUUAUUCUAUGAAUAUUUGAAGAACAAUUACUUCUGCACCUUUUUAUUUUCAUUUAAAGAAUAGAAAAACUUUCUUUUUGGAUAUAAAUAAGUCAUAAAGAAAAAGAGAAACACUUAAUGUACAAUGUAGUAUAAUCUGAUGCAGCUGUUUCAUUGGGGAAAACAUGAUUAAACACACUGCUAUUGGUGAAUAAUAAAAUAAUAAAUAUUUAAUCUGACUCUAUAAGGUAAUGAUGCUCAGGUAAAACGCAGGUGAGUGACAGGUAUGUUAAUAUCAUUGUUUGAUUCAACAAUGUGUCAUUGGUUUCAUCACAAAUAUUUGUUUACAAUAGGUUAGGUCAGUUGUGGAUUUUCACAUUUAUUUGUAAUGAAAACAUCUUCUGUCAAUCUGUCCCAAGGAAAGGAACAGUAUUAAAGGGAGG